rnacentral:rRNA from 1 species
UACAGAGACCUCAAGCGUUAUCCGGAAUCAUUGGGCGUAAAGCGUUCCGAUAGGUUGUUUUGAAAGUCUUGGGUAAAAGCCAGAAGCUUAACUUCUGCGUUUGCUUAAGAUACUGCAAAACUAGAGGGGCAAAGAGGUGCUUGGAACGAAUGGUGUAGUAGUGAAAUGCGUUGAUAUCAUUCGGAACACCGAAAGCGAAGGCAGAGCACUGGGUGCCACCUGACACUGCUAGGACGAAAGCGUGGGGAGCGAAUGGG